rnacentral:rRNA from 1 species
CCUACGGGUGGCAGCAGUGAGGAAUAUUGGUCAAUGGCCGGAAGGCUGAACCAGCCAUGCCGCGUGAAGGUCAGUGCCCUAUGGGCGUUAAACUUCUUUUGUGCGGGAGCAAUAAUGGUCACGUGUGGCCAGACGAGAGUACCGUACGAAUAAGCAUCGGCUAACUCCGUGCCAGCAGCCGCGGUAAUACGGGGGAUGCAAACGUUAUCCCGAUUUAUUGGGUUUGAAGGGUGCGUAUGCUGUGAGUUAAGGCAGCGGUGAAAUGCCCCCGCUCAACGGGGUGAAGUGCCAUUGAUACUGGCAUGCUGGAGUGCGGAUGACGUGGGAGGAAUGUGUGGUGUAGCGGUGAAAUGCAUAGAUAUCACACAGAACACCGAUUGCGAAGGCAUCUCACUAAUCCGCGAUUGACGCUGAUGCACGAAAGCGUGGGUAUCAAACAGGAUUAGAUACCCUUGUAGUC